rnacentral:rRNA from 1 species
CGCGUAGGCGGCAGUGUAUGUCAGAUGUGAAAUACUCCGGCUCAACCAGAGAACAGCAUCUGAAACUGCACGGCUAGAGUACAGAAGAGGGAAACGGAAUUCCCGGUGUAGAGGUGAAAUUCGUAGAUAUCGGGAGGAACACCAGUGGCGAAGGCGGUUUCCUGGUCUGAUACUGACGCUGAGGCGCGAAAGCGUGGGGAGCAAACA